GAGAUGGAGAUGAGAGCAGAGCAGAAUUCCAGUUAGCUUUCGUUUGGAAAGGGUAUUUACAGGUUUUCACAGUUCAACAACAAUUCAAAAGCGCGCUACAUGCUGAUAAAUAAUAAUAAAAUAAUACAAAUAAUUAGUUCAUUCUAAUAAUAGAAUACUUGCAGCGUUAGUAUUAGUAAAUGUUUCAACUAAAUAGAUAAGAAACGAAAAAACUAAAGAAUUACUAACAUAUUUUUGUGCAAUAAAUUGUUAGGCGUUUUGUUUUGUUUGUGUUUUUGGUUUUGUUUACAGUUUUUCAGGAGCGACAAAAGAGAGUGUAAAAUGGUUGAAAGUUCCACAAGCGGAACCAUACCCUAAAUCCUAAACGUUUAAGCCUUCCAGUGGAGAGCAGGUGUAGCUAUAGCUGCACUUUCCACGCCAGCGCAUGUGAAGAGCUCUAACGGCGGUUGCCCCCACCCCCUUCCACUCGAUUUGAUUGAAUGCGAAUGUCAACCACAAACGAGAUCACAUGAAUACUGAGAGCAACACAGCAAUAGCAACAAAAAUGCAG